CAGUUCGCCGCGGGAAUACAGAGGGUGCAAGCGUUAAUCGGAAUUACUGGGCGUAAAGCGCGCGUAGGUGGUUUGUUAAGUUGGAUGUGAAAUCCCCGGGCUCAACCUGGGAACUGCAUCCAAAACUGGCAAGCUAGAGUAUGGUAGAGGGUGGUGGAAUUUCCUGUGUAGCGGUGAAAUGCGUAGAUAUAGGAAGGAACACCAGUGGCGAAGGCGACCACCUGGACUGAUACUGACACUGAGGUGCGAAAGCGUGGGGAGCAAACAGGAUUAGAUACCCGAGUAGUCCCUGUCUCUUAUU
rnacentral:rRNA from 1 species